CCCGGCUAAUUUUUUGUAUUUUUAGUAGAGACGGGGUUUCACCGUUUUAGCCGGGAUGGUCUCGAUCUCCUGACCUCGUGAUCCGCCCGCCUCGGCCUCAGAAACAUUUUCAAUCAGGCUCAAAGAAUGCAGGAACUGUGGGGCCAGGUUUCAUAUAAAAUGCGUUUUAGAGUUCACUUGGUGAGAUAUUCCCCUCAAAGAGCACAGGGACUUGAUUCCCCAGCACUCUCCUGCCUCUGGAUCUUUGCUCAAGCUGUUGUCUCUGUCUGGAGUGCCCUUCACCUCCAUGUCUGCUUGUUGAAGAUUUGCUGCCUCUAGGACACCUCUUCCAAGAAGCUUUCUGGAACCUUCUCCAAGUCGGAAUUAUGGUUUUUCUCAGGCAUUGCACAUGGCUUGUGCCAUUCACUGCUGACUGCUUUGCAUUAGGGUUCUUUUGGUCUUAGAGCCCUGUAGCUGAUUUAUUAAAGGUGUGGGCUGCCUAGGAUGGUGGUUUCCUGCCAUGGCUUCACAUUAGAACCACCUGGGGAGCCUUGACUCACCUGGCCAAGUGGAAACCAGCAUCAGUAUAUUUCGAGAGCUCCUCAGGUGGUUCUAAUGUGCAACCAGGAAUAAGAGCCUUGCACUGAGACCUCCUCCCAUCUCAUGCAUGGAAUUUUUCUUGCAUCUGUUCUUCCAGCUCACAGGCCCCUUCCCCUCACGACAUGGAAAGAGAGAUGAGUUUCCACUAAGACAAGACCUUAGCUCUGACUUGAUGUCUUAAGCAGGAGAUGUAAAACCUAACUCACAGUGUCCGCGGGGUCCUGAAUUUCUGUUCCACCCCUUUCAGCCAACUGGCAGCUUGGACUGGAGUUAGCGACAGAUGUCUUCUGAGCAGGACUUACAGGUACAAGACAAGAGGAGGAAGCCUGCUGCAAAGGAUGCAAAAGGCCCAUGCCUCCAACCUCAGUCUGGCUGUCAUUGCUAACGUCACUAAGCCAUGGUUGCCAGGCAAUUGCUGGGGGAAAAAAGCACUUUCAAAGCCAACUAAGCACCUACUGUGUGACACUGUGUGACAAACUCUCAACAGCAUCCAGUCCUGGCCCUGUAGGUCCUCCCGGAAUAAAAAUUUUCUCAAACCUAUAUAUGUGGCUCUAAUGAGAUGUGUUAAAAUAGAGCAGUGCUUUUCAACUUUUGUAUGAAAGCUGCAGGAUUUGUUAAAACAUAGACUGCUGGCCCCACCCUCAGUAAUUCUAAUAUUGAAGUAACUCUGGGUUGGGAUUCAAGAAUUUGCAUUUCUGACAAGUUCUACUUGCAGCAAAUCCUGUUGGUCCAGAGACUACAUUUUGAGAACCACUGAAAUAGGGGCAUGUUCUUGACAUGAAUGGGGAAGCAGUGUGAUUAAAUUUGACUCUAGGAGAGUGGUCAUAGAGGUGGUGACAUUUGAACUGGGCCUAGAAGGAUGAGA
rnacentral:lncRNA from 1 species